AUUGAACGCUGGCGGCAGGCCUAACACAUGCAAGUCGAGCGAGCGGCGGACGGGUGAGUAAUGUAUGGGGACUGCCCGAUAGAGGGGGAUAAAUACUGGAAACGGUAGCUAAUACCGCAUACAGUCGGAUAACUCAUAUGGGAUUAGCUAGUGGGUGGGGUAAUGGCUCACCCAGGCGACGAUCCCUAGCUGGUCUGAGAGGAUGAUCAGCCACACUGGGACUGAGACAGGGCCCAGACUCCUACGGAGGCAGCAGUGGGGAAUAUUGCACAAUGGGCGAAAGCCUGAUGCAGCCAUGCCGCGUGUAUGAAGAAGGCCUUAGGGUUGUAAAGUACUUUCAGUCGGGAGGCGUUACCGACAGAAGAAGCACCGGCUAACUCCGUGCCAGCAGCCGCGGUAAUAC
rnacentral:rRNA from 1 species